UAGAGUCAGAAUUGCGUGAUAUAAAGUCGCAAUUGCGUUAUAGAGUCAGAAUUGCGUGAUAUAAAGUCGCAAUUGCAUGUUGUAAAGUCAGAAUUGUGAGAUAUAAACUAUUCUGGGGGGAAAAAAGUUAGUCUUUUUUCCCCCUUAGAAUUGGCCUGAUAACUCGCAAUUGCGAGUUUAUAUCUCACAAUUCUGAGAAAAUAUGUCAGAAUUUUGAGAUAUAAA